rnacentral:rRNA from 1 species
UACAGAGGUCUCGAGCGUUAGGCGGAAUCACUGGGCUUAAAGCGUGUGUAGGCGGAUCGUUAAGUACCUUGUGAAAUCCCACGGCUUAACCGUGGAACUGCUUGGUAUACUGGCGGUCUUGAGCCAGCUAGGGGCUACCGGAACAAAUGGUGGAGCGGUGAAAUGCGUAGAUAUCAUUUGGAACGCCAAUGGUGAAAACAGGUAGCUGGGGCUGUGCUGACGCUGAGGCGCGACAGCGUGGGGAGCAAACAGG